GGUUAGGUAGCUCAGUGGUUAUAGCACCUGGCAUAUAACUAGGAACAGUGAGGGCCUGGGUUCAAAUCCCAGGAUAAUUA